rnacentral:rRNA from 1 species
UGGUGGAGUGAUUUGUCUGGUUAAUUCCGUUAACGAACGAGACCUCGACCUGCUAAAUAGUUUUCCAAAGGAUUCGUCCUUUGCUGGAAACUUCUUAGAGGGACUAUCGGUGUGUAGCCGACGGAAGUUCGAGGCAAUAACA